CCUACGGGUGGCUGCAGUGGGGAAUAUUGGACAAUGGGGGGAACCCUGAUCCAGCCAUGCCGCGUGUGUGAAGAAGGCCCUCGGGUUGUAAAGCACUUUCAGUGAGGAAGAACGCCUGGUGGUUAAUACCCAUCAGGAAAGACAUCACUCACAGAAGAAGCACCGGCUAACUCCGUGCCAGCAGCCGCGGUAAUACGGAGGGUGCGAGCGUUAAUCGGAAUUACUGGGCGUAAAGCGCGCGUAGGUGGCUUGAUAAGCCGGUUGUGAAAGCCCCGGGCUCAACCUGGGAACGGCAUCCGGAACUGUCAAGCUAGAGUGCAGGAGAGGAAGGUAGAAUUCCCGGUGUAGCGGUGAAAUGCGUAGAGAUCGGGAGGAAUACCAGUGGCGAAGGCGGCCUUCUGGACUGAUACUGACACUGAGGUGCGAAAGCGUGGGUAGCAAACAGGAUUAGAUACCCCUGUAGUC
rnacentral:rRNA from 1 species